GGCCGGCUCGGGUGGUUCAGGCGCGGUCGGAACUAGGCCGGUGCGGCCCAUUUGGCCGGACCGGUCCGGUUUUCCUUUUUUUUCUUUUCUUUUUUCCUUUUUCUGAUUUCUUUGAUAUCUUUUGAUUUUGAACUCCAAAUUGGUCCAAAUAAAUUCCAAAAAAUUUGUAAAAUCGUCUAAUCCUGAUUCAACUUUUGGGACUAAUUUCCCCUCAAAAUAAAAUAUAUAAAAAUACAUUUGCCCUAUAAAUGCCUUUAGGGCUAUAUAACUAUUUAAAUAAAAUAGUUUUUCAACUCCAAAUAAUUAUCCAAAAAUUAUGGGAUAGCCUAUUUAUGCAAUAAACCCUUUUUAUAGCUAAACCCUAUUGGUUUGAAGAUCCAAAGCUCAAAUGGGUGAAACCCUAAGGUUUAAAUUGAAAUAAAAUCUUUUAAAAGCCUUUUUAAGAUUCAAAUUCGAAUUCAAAAAUGCAAUUAUGGCAUGAUGCUCAUGAGUGCAAUGCAUAUG
rnacentral:lncRNA from 1 species